GCACGGGUGAGUAACGCGUAUCCAACCUGCCCAUCACUUGGGGAUAACCUUGCGAAAGUAAGACUAAUACCCAAUGAUAUCUCUAGAAGGCAUCUGAAAGAGAUUAAAGAUUUAUCGGUGAUGGAUGGGGAUGCGUCUGAUUAGCUUGUUGGCGGGGUAACGGCCCACCAAAGCAACGAUCAGUAGGGGUUCUGAGAGGAAGGUCCCCCACAUUGGAACUGAGACACGGUCCAAACUCCUACGGGAGGCAGCAGUGAGGAAUAUUGGUCAAUGGACGAGAGUCUGAACCAGCCAAGUAGCGUGCAGGAUGACGGCCCUAUGGGUUGUAAACUGCUUUUAUAAGGGAAUAAAGUGAGUCUCGUGAGACUUUUUGCAUGUACCUUAUGAAUAAGGACCGGCUAAUUCCGUGCCAGCAGCCGCGGUAAUACGGAAGGUCCGGGCGUUAUCCGGAUUUAUUGGGUUUAAAGGGAGCGUAGGCCGGAGAUUAAGCGUGUUGUGAAAUGUAGAUGCUCAACAUCUGCACUGCAGCGCGAACUGGUUUCCUUGAGUACGCACAAAGUGGGCGGAAUUCGUGGUGUAGCGGUGAAAUGCUUAGAUAUCACGAAGAACUCCGAUUGCGAAGGCAGCUCACUGGAGCGCAACUGACGCUGAAGCUCGAAAG
rnacentral:rRNA from 1 species